GACGUAGGGCGCGAGCGUUGUCCGGAUUUAUUGGGCGUAAAGAGCUCGUAGGCGGCUUGUCGCGUCGGCUGUGAAAUCCCGUGGCUCAACUGUGGGCGGGCAGCUGAUACGGGCAGGCUGGAGUUCGGUAGGGGAGACUGGAAUUCCUGGUGUAGCGGUGAAAUGCGCAGAUAUCAGGAGGAACACCGGUGGCGAAGGCGGGUCUCUAGGCCGACACUGACGCUGAGAAGCGAAAGCGUGGGGAGCGAACAGG
rnacentral:rRNA from 1 species